UCAGUCGUGUACGAUAAGGCGCUUUUGCGACACACCACUGACAGUAAGAGCAGGUGACGGGACUGUGGCACUUGGCGAGACACGGUGACACUCGGUGACACAUAGUGACAUUUUGGUGACACUUUGGUGACACCUGUGACACAUUGUGACAGUGGUGACGGAUUGGUGACAGGCUCGAGUGCCAACCGUCCACAGAAGAUUAUAGUUUCUCAGCCGAUUGAUUGUGACCAUAUGACCUGAGUUGGAUUGACUACUCACACUGGCGCUCAGAACCAAAACUGAGAACACCUCGCCAUGUGUAACCACCGCUCCCCCGGCUUCGGUCGUCUGGUCGUCCAGGAGAACGGAUAUGGAGAACAGGUGGUAUGGGCGGAGGAGGAGCUGGCCGGCCUGUUCGGCCUGCUGAUUGCCGUGCUGGCCCUGCUGAUUGUGCACCUCCUGCUGAGAAUCUGCGUCAGCGUCAGUAAGCUGAGUCGUUCCUGCUGCGGGGGAUGCCGGACUAGUGAUUAAUGGAACGGCAGCUGUCUUCACAGCAGAAAAACGCGCCCCUGUAAAUAUUUAUCAUUAAACAAGUCAUGCGUAGAUCAUCGUGAUAGAAGCGAUCGUGUAUUUGGAGGACGUUCAAAUGAGGCUGAGAAUUGUGAAAUAUAUUUAUUUGUCAUCCUAAUACACACCCAACAUCGUGA